rnacentral:rRNA from 1 species
UUAAUAUUAGUUAUGAAAUAUAUUUCAAGAAAUUUUAUAUCUAGUUUUUUAAGAGUAAAAGUUUAAUUAAUAAUUUUUAUAAAAAUUAAUAUGGUUUAGCUUAUUAAUUUUAUAUAUUGUUAGAAUUAUAUAACCUUAGUAAAUUUGAUAGUGUUUAUUUUAUUAAUUUAUAAUGGAGGGUGAUGUGAAUAAAGAUUUUUAUUUAUUAUUUAUUUAUUAAAAAAUUUAUUUAAAUUUUAAAGUUAUAUUUAUAAUGAAAAAAUUAGUAAAAAUUUAGUUAUAUUUAAAAAUAGUUAAUAAUAUAUAAAUGUUAUAAUUAUUAUAAAAAAUGAAUUCGGCAAAAAGUAUUAUUUGACUGUUUAGCAAAAACAUUGUUUCAUGAAAAUAUAUGAAAUAAUGUCUGUCCACUGAUAUAUUUGAAGGACUGCAGUAUAUUGACUGUAUAAAAGUAGCAUAAUCAUUAGCUUUUUAAUUUGGGGUUGGUAUGAAGGCGAAACGGGUAAGUUCUUUAUUUUUUAUAAAUAUUUUAAUUUUAUUUUUGAGUGAAAAAUCUUAAUUGGAUGAGAGGGACAAGAAGACCCUAAUAAGUUUUAUUUUUUUUUAUUUAUGUUAUAGGAAAUUAUAAUUAGAUAAUAUUAAAUUAGAAAUUUGGUUGGGGCGAUUAAUUAUAAAACAUAAUUUAUUUAUAAUUUUU